rnacentral:rRNA from 1 species
CCUACGGGGGGCAGCAGUGGGGAAUAUUGGGCAAUGGGCGAAAGCCUGACCCAGCAACGCCGCGUGAAGGAAGAAGGCUUUCGGGAUGUAAACCUCUUUUAAGGGGGAAGAGCAGAAGACGGUACCCCUUGAAUAAGCCACGGCUAACUACGUGCCAGCAGCCGCGGUAAUACGUAGGUGGCAAGCGUUGUCCGGAUUUACUGGGUGUAAAGGGCGUGCAGCCGGAGAGACAAGUCAGAUGUGAAAUCCACGGGCUCAACCCGUGAACUGCAUUUGAAACUGUUUCCCUUGAGUGUCGGAGAGGUAAUCGGAAUUCCUUGUGUAGCGGUGAAAUGCGUAGAUAUAAGGAAGAACACCAGUGGCGAAGGCGGAUUACUGGACGAUAACUGACGGUGAGGCGCGAAAGCGUGGGGAGCAAACAGGAUUAGAUACCCCAGUAGUC